AGAUAUUUUUAAAUUUUUUUUAAUUUGAGAUACUGGGAAAGGGAAAGAGAGAGUUAAGGGGAAUUUGCAAGACUGGGACCGAGGGGGACCAGCAGGGAGGGGUUCUGGUCCAUAGCAGAGCUUCCUCGGGCUCCUCAGAUCUUUCACAUGACCUACGACCUGGCCAGUGCAGUGGUUCGCAUCUUCAACCUCAUUGGAAUGAUGUUGCUGCUGUGUCACUGGGAUGGCUGUCUGCAGUUCCUGGUCCCUAUGCUGCAGGACUUCCCUUCCGACUGCUGGGUCUCCAUGAACCGCAUGGUGGUGAGAAGUACCCCCGACUCUGGUACUCCUGGGCCUCUAAUGGGCUCUUCUGCCUGAGCAACAGGGGUAGCCAUAGGGAGCAGAAGGUAGGGGAUGAUCC
rnacentral:lncRNA from 1 species